GUUUCAGAGUUAAAGAGGCAGAGGAAGUCUGCAGACAGAAAAAGGGGAAAUCACUAUACAAUAUAAGACCAAAACAUGACUCUGGAAUUAAAGCCAAGAUAAGUAUGAAAAUCUGACAGAAGAAAAGCAAAAGCCAUUGUUACCUGGUUACCAAAACUCGACAUGUCUGUGGGUGGGGCGUGAGGGGGAAGGAAACUACAUCAUCUUGAUCAUUUGCUUUCUGGACCUUUUGAAUUCGCCUUUUUGUUCUCUGGAGUUUUCCACCAAUUGAUGUGUUAAUGUACAUUCAUGAAUGAGUGUAAACACUUUAAUGGAGUGCCCGGCAAUAGACUAGAUAUUAACUUGAAACACCUUCCCUGUAUUCAGUAUCUCCUUUACCAUUCAAAGAUGAUAUUUUGUAAAGUGUAUGGUAUACUACAAAUAGGCCAAGUCAGCAUGCAUAAAAACAGUAUCUGCAUCAGUUCUGAACAUGCUGAAAAUUACAUUAAGUUGAACUUCAUAAGAAUACUACUUGAUAAAGUAAAAUGUUUCCAUUCCUACUGGCAACAUCUGUCUAAAGCAGAUACGUCAUGACACUGCACUUAGAUUAGGGAAAGAAAUGUUACUCCUAGUGAAUUGUUUGUAUUCGUUUCAUGUUGGCAUAUGUAGUUUGUAUUUUGAAUCGUUAAGUGCUGCUUAUACAGUAUAAUCAAUGCUUUCCCAACUUGUUUGGUUGCCCUCCAUGGCUAAAUAUUUGUGGAACAAGAUGUUUACUGUAACUAUGUUUAAAAUCGAUAAGGCAACAUACUUUUAUGACUUUUACUUCAUCUUUUGCCAGAUAGUGAAUGCCAGGUGGUAAUGGGGGUCAGAAAUCCAGCAUUAAAAAAAAAA